rnacentral:lncRNA from 1 species
AAUUAUAGCAUGGAUAAUAAACGAUUAUCAUGAACUAAGAAAUAUAAUAAUAACUAAUUUAUUAUUGCCACUAGGGCAUAUUUCCAACAGUCUCCCACUUGCACUAGUGUCAAUAAUCUAGUUCACAUCACCAUGUGAUUCCAACGAAUCCAACACCCAUACAGUUAUGGGGUCUGAUCACGUCUUGCUCGUGAGAGAGGUUUUAGUCAACGGUUCUGAAACUUUCAGAUCCGUGCGUUCUUUACAAAUAUUUAUGUCAUCUUAUAGAUGCUGCUACUACGUGCUAUUCAGAAAUACUGCAAAUAUCUACUCUACUAUACGAAUCCGUUUCACUACUCAUAGUUAUUCGGAUUAGUGUCAAAGCUUGCAUCGACGUAACCCUUUACGACGAACUCUUCAACCACCUCCAUAAUCGAGAAAAAUUCCUUAGUCCAUUAGUUACUAAGGAUAAAUUUUGACCGCUGCUAGUGAUUCAAUCAAGGAUCACUCUCUGUACCUCUCAACAGACUUUGAGUCAAGGCACACAUCAGGUGCGGUACACAGCAUGGCAUACUUUAGAUACUACGGCUAAGGCAUAGAAGACGACCUUCGUCUAUUCUCUUUAUUCUGUCGUGGUCGGGUUUUUUGAGUCUUACUCAAAUUUACACCUUACAACGCAACCAAGAACUCCUUCUUUGCUGAUCUAUUUUGAACUCCUUCAAAAACUUGUCAAGGCAUGCAUCUUAUUGAAACUUUCAUCAAGCGCUUUUGAUCUAUCUCCAUAGAUCUUUGAUGCUCAACGUUCAAGUAGCACAAUCCAGGUAUUCCUUUGAAAACUCCUUUCAAACAACCUUGUAUACUUUACAGAAAUUCUACAUUACUUAUGAUCCACAAUAUGUCAACCACAUAUACUUAUCAGAAAUUCUAUAGUGCUCCCACUCACUUCUUUGGAAAUACAAGUUUCUCAUAAACCUUGUACAAACCCAAAAUCUUUGAUCAUCUCACCAAAGUGUAUAUUCCAACUCCGAGAUGCUUGCACCAAUCCAUUGAAGGAUCACUUGGAGCUUGCAUACUUGCUAGUAUCUUUAGGAUCGACAAAACCUUCUGGUUGUA